UAUACAUAUGAGAUGAAUAAUGUAGGGUAUGUAAACAUUAUAUUAGGUAGCAUUGUUUAAAGUGGCUAGUGAUAUAUUUUACAAUUCCCAUUAUUAAAGUGGCUGGAGUUGAGUCAGUGUGUUGGCAGCAGCCACUCAAUGUUAGUGGUGGCUGUUUAACAGUCUGAUGGCCUUGGGCUAGAAGCUGUUUUUCAGUCUCUCGGUCCCAGCUUUGACGCACCUGUACUGACCUCACCUUCUGGAUGAUAGCGGGGUGAACAGGCAGUGGCUCGGGUGGUUGUUGGCCUUCCUGUGACAUCGGGUGGUGUAGGUGUCCUGGCGGAAGAAGGUACUCUGGUCAGAUGAAACUAAAUUUAGCAUUUUAGCCAUCAAGGAGAACGCUGUGUCUGGCACAAAUGCUCGGCUAUUACACAGAACCUAAACCUGCGUGCGUGCGCCAUCGUGCGCAAAUGUAUUUUGUCCCCCUACACCAAUCACGACACCAGGUUAAAAUAUCAAAACAAAUUCUGAACCAAUUGCAUUAAUUUUGGAACAGGUCUAAAAGCAUUAAACAUUUAUGGCAAUUUAGUUAGUUAGUUAGCUUGCUAGCUAAUUUGUCCUAUUUAGCUAGCUAAUUUGUCCUGGGAUAUAAACAUUGAGUUGUUAUUUUACCUGAAAUGCACAAGGUCCUCUAGUCUGACAAUUAAUCCACACAUAAAACAGUCAACUGACUCGUUUCUGGUUCUCUCCUCCUGCCAGGCUUUUUCAUCUUUCAACUUAUGUUGAUUGGCAUCUAAACUUUCAUAGUAUUACUACACCGACCGGCAACACAGUUCGUCUUUCCAUCACCCUCAUGGGUAUAACCAAUGAGGAGAUUGGAGAGGCAGGACUUGCAGCAUCGAUCUGCGUUGGAAAUAGAAUGGAGUUCUAUUUUAGCCCAUGGCAAUGUAGACGCUCGCGAGCAGUGUGGGUGCACUAAUUGAAUAACGUAGAUUUCUAAAUUUAUUUUGCAACUCUCGGGCAUGCGGAAUGAGUGGUGUGGUCAGCUGAUUAAAUUAUUCUUUAGUAAAGGUUGAAUAGUCUAUUCAGCUAUUAACCCUCCCCAACUUGCAACAAAUUGCUGUUCCCAUCUCAUUCCUUUCCCUCUCAUGUGUCAUCAUUCUGCUCCUGAGUGGCUCGCUUGUGGGUGUGCUGGCAGGAUAUGGCAGCAUCUUCAGGUGUGCAUCAAGAAUUCUGCAUACAGUAGCACGUUUGUAUGAAGGAAGUCAAAGCGGACAACUACGAAGAUGGCAUCUCAGUCUUUCAGAGAGUGAGCUGAUCAAGGGGUCAAAUGUAGAUAUUGCCAGAUGUUCACUGUCCGAGGAACAGGCUGUGAAAGCUUUAUUGCUGGCAAAAGUCUCCAUAACCAGAGGUUAUAUCAGCUGUUUUGGUGAACCCCUCCAGCAUCUGAAAUGGCUGAAACAGCGGGCACAGCAUGAUCAUAGGUAUGUUUUGAUGUGAGAGGAAGCCAGUCCCGUCAUCGCCACCUCAUCAACUCUUCCUCGCCUUCUGGGGGCCCAAGGCUGGUUAGGAGACACCACAAUUGUGAUGAACUGAGAAUAUUAGGGUAGCACUAAUUCAUGAAUCGUAUGUUGUCUGCUGCUGCUGUUACCUCUUUCUCUUUGUCUUCUAUACCUCUCUCCCCACCUUGACUGACUGACUUGUUUUAUAAUGCACACCAUACAGUUUGAACUUAUAUUUAUGAUAAUUGUAAUAUUAUAAUUCUAAUGCAUUUAUGUAUUUAUGAAACCUGCAUAAUGAACUUCUUUCAAUAGUGUUUCACGUUCUCCACGGGUUGAAAUUAAGUAUCUCAUUGAAAUACUAUCCUGUGUCCUCAG
ensembl:lncRNA